UACGGGGGGUGCAAGCGUUAUCCGGAUUCACUGGGUUUAAAGGGUGCGUAGGUGGGCAGGUAAGUCAGUGGUGAAAUCUCCGGGCUUAACUCGGAAACUGCCGUUGAUACUAUCUGUCUUGAAUAUCGUGGAGGUUAGCGGAAUAUGUCAUGUAGCGGUGAAAUGCUUAGAUAUGACAUAGAACACCCAUUGCGAAGGCAGCUAACUACACGAUCAUUGACACUGAGGCACGAAAGCGUGGGGAGCAAACAGG
rnacentral:rRNA from 1 species